rnacentral:misc_RNA from 1 species
GAUGAAGAACGCAGCGAAAUGCGAUAAGUAAUGUGAAUUGCAGAAUUCAGUGAAUCAUCGAAUCUUUGAACGCACAUUGCGCCCCUUGGUAUUCCGAGGGGCAUGCCUGUUCGAGCGUCAUUUCAACCCUCAAGCACAGCUUGGUCUUGGGCUUCGCCGCUAACCCGGCGGGUCUUAAAAUCAGUGGCGGCGCCAUCUGGCUCUAAGCGUAGUAAUUUCUCUCGCUAUAGAGUCCCGGUGGAUGCUUGCCAGCAACCCCCAACUUUCUAUGGUUGACCUCGGAUCAGGUAGGGAUACCCGCUGAACUUAAGCAUAUCAAUAAGCGGAGGA